UACGAAGGGGGCUAGCGUUGUUCGGAAUUACUGGGCGUAAAGCGUAUGCAGGCGGAUCGUUAAGUCGGGGGUGAAAUCCCGAGGCUCAACCUCGGAACUGCCUUCGAUACUGGCGACCUUCGAGUCCGGGAGAGGUGAGUGGAACUCCGAGUGUAGAGGUGAAAUUCGUAGAUAUUCGGAAGAACACCAGUGGCGAAGGCGGCUCACUGGCCCGGUACUGACGCUGAGGAACGAAAGCUAGGGGAGCAAACAGG
rnacentral:rRNA from 1 species